rnacentral:lncRNA from 9 species
UGAUAAUGACCCCAACUAGUAUCCAUGAGGAUGCAGGUUCGAUCCCUGGCCCCUGCUCAGUGGGUUAAGGAUCCAGUGUUGCCACAGCUGGGAUGUAGGCUGAAGACGUAGCUUGGAUCUGGCAUGGCUGUGGCUGGGGCAGAGGCUGGCAGCUGCAGCUCCGAUUCAACCCCGAGCCUGAGAACAUCAAAAUGCUGCGAGUGCAGCCCUAAAAAAUAAAAAAAAAAAAAAAUGCACUCUCUGCGGAAUGCGGUAAGGUGCCGUGCAGUGAGGUCUCCCUCAGAGGGUUGUGCAGGCUGCAGGUGCGGAAGAACUCGUUGCAGGCGCAUUCACAAAGGUGUCUUCAAAUUGACCCCAUUUCUGCUUCGGUUUCGCCUUCCUGCUUCCUGAACUUUCGCUCCCGGUGUUUUCUCCCCGAAUGAAUGGCUCGCGCCGAAGACUUGGCUUCGGUCGCCACCAGGAGUGGGUCUCUGAGGCAUGGGUCCCGACAGAGGGACGUUUCCAACGACCGGGAACAAAUGGAUGCCUGGGGUUCUUGGAAAUGAGCCCAGCGUAUUUUUCUAACAUCUAGAAAAUAACAUCAUUCCAGUUUUCAAUGAAUCGUGAUUCGGAUCUUUCUGGCAGUCUGGUUCUUAACUCGUCCCAGAUGAGAGGAAUGGAAAGAAAACAGACUGUGGCUGCUGCUUCAGCAUCUGAGUUUUAAGCAAGAAAAAUAUCUGGAGUUCCCGAGGUGGCUCCGUGGGUGAAGGGCCUGACCUACUGUCUGCGAGGAUGCGGGUUCCAUCCCUGGCACCGCUCAGUGGGUUAAGGAUCUGGUGUUGCAGUGGCUGUGGGCUCGACCCCUAAACUUCCGUAUGCCACAGGUGCGGCCGUGAAAAAAGAAACAAAGUUAUCAUUCUCUGCAUGAUAAUGACUGUAAGAUAAUGUAUAGAGUAAUUGUUCUAUCAAAGUAUUAUUCUAUUGAUGACUUAUACUAUACUAUAUAACGCAAUUUAUUAAUAAUAACAAUUAUUACAUGGUUGUCUUUUGGUGGAAGAAUUUCUCUGUUUGCCUCGAAGCUCCCUGUUAAGAGCUGUCCUAACACCCACCCAAAGUCAACCCUGGUAGCUGAUGCAUGUUUGCUCUCUUCUCUCAUCUCUGGGUCACAAAACUAAGAGGCAGUGACAACUCAUUAAACCCACAGGAAAUAGAGGCUUUUCUUUGAAAGGAGAAAUGCAGACCACAUAUAUUUUAAAAAGGCAUCUCCAUAUGUGAUAUGAACGCAUCCAUUCUAUGCUGCUUUGAUCAUUUUCAGCCUCGUGCCUUCUGGGUAUUUUUAAAAGUAUGUCCUUUGCAUUGGCAAACUAUUAGAGGACCAGCGUUUGGAAAAGAAAAGUGACAUGGGUUCAAAAGACUCAAAUGUCCUUGACGCUGGCGUCUGAAGUAAACUUUGAUGGCCCAUAAGCCCUUUGGAUCUUUAAUUCAACUAUAUUCAAAAGGGGGAAGAAAGGGGGAUUUCUAGAAAGUUUGAUUGGAACCAUUCUUACAGAGAGCACAGCACAGGAAAAAAAAAAUCUGCCAUGAUUUUAUUAUAUGAAAAUAUACAUUGCUGUGGCUGUGGCUGUGGCAUAGGCUGGCAGCUACAGAUCCAAUUUGACCCCUACCCUGGGAACUUCCAGAUGCGGUGGGUGUGCCCCUAAAAAGACCAAAAAAAAAAAAAAAAAGAAAAUAUACCGUAAAUGCAAAACAUCUUCACCGAAUAAUGCAAAAGCUGAAUAUUCAUUACCAGCAAACAGAUUAAUGGAAAGAAUACACCGUGACCUGUGGCACGUCGAUGCCUAAGAAAAACAAUUUACUAAAGAGAAGCACCUCCUUUCAUGACCUUGGCCAAGACCUUGACAAUGGCAGCCGUUUAGAGCAAAGGCACAUUUUCAUUGUCACUAUGCAGACUCUUGUUCAUCCGGUCUGGAGUGGGGCUCAGAUCUGGCAUGUCCAACCCCCCCC